UUUCAAAAUACAUUGUCUUGCUUUUAAUAGCCUCCCUGAUCCACUCUUGGAGGUUCUCAUGACUGACUGUUCCCAAAAUAAUACCCAGAGCAGCUUUUUCCAACUCUGAAGUGCUGAAUCUUGCUACCUCCCAAUCAGCCACUGGCUGCCAUUGAGCCCUGGUAAUCCCAGGGUCCCCCAAACCGAAUGUGACCCAACAGGGAGGUUUCCAAGGCAUUUGGAGAGAUCCCCAGACGGUCCCUGCCAGCUCACCGAACUGCUGACAGCAAGUUUCCAGGGAAAGCCGGCCCCUCCAUGGGGCUCCCUCCUCUGCUCCAAGACUGCUGAACCAGGAUGGGACAAGAGGCCAAUGGCAGCCCUCGGGAUGCCCCGGGCCCUCAGAGAAGGGGAAGGUUUUCCUAGAAGCUGGAGAGCUGAUGUGAAGCAAGAGGGAACUGGUUCGGCUUGCCUUUCUCCUUCGAUGAGAAAAGAAGUCAAAUAACUUGCCCUAGAUCACAUGGUGGAAGAACCCAGAAUCGAACCCUUAAAGAGACAGGACGUACUCUCCACUUCUGCUUCCUGCACAAAUGGGGACUGGAUGCUACGAGCUCAGACAGCCAUUCAGGACCAUUUUAGAAACUGUGUUAAUGCAGACAGAGCUGCUAGACAGAAGGUCCCUAAGGAUUCUUCGUACGAAGACAUCAAGUACAGAAACACUGAGUGACAUGAUCAGAAGUGCACUUCAGAAAGAUGGCCACAGGUGAAAUAAAGAGUCGGGCUCCAGAGCCAGUUGGCCUGGGUACAAAUCCCGGCUCUGUCUCUCCCGAACUUUGUGACCAUAGGCAAAUCACUUAACCUCUCUGUACUUCAGUUUCUUCAUCUGCAAAAUGGGGGUAAUACUACCCAACGGGAGAGCUGUUGUGAGGAGUUAGCACAUCUAAGGGUGUUUAAAAUAGCACCUGGUACAUAUUAGGGAGCCUGAGGUUCCAGGAGUGCGCCUGUAGGAGGACACUGCUUACCUGGGGCCUUUGAUCUUGAUGAAGAGCUAGAAAAGGACACUGGACCCUCCCUCUCCCAGUAGGCACUGGCAGGUACCUGGGAGACUAGAAGAUGUCCAGAGGCAGCACCAAGCCUUCACUCGCAAUCAGAGGAAAUGGGCCACGAGAGAGAAGACCUGGAUGGGGCACUAACCACAAAUCGAGCCACGAGGCCCUGGGCACUGUAUCUAGAGUGGGGUGUGGCCCAGGCCACAGGGCAGAGAGCCCCCUUGGCACAGUCCAGCCCAGAAGCCAUGCUGGGGGGCCUCAUGCGGAAAUGGGCAGGGGCCCUGCUGGGAGAAGCAUGCGCCCCCUGCCCCCCAUGGCUGGUUCCCCAGGAGAUAAGAAGCCCAAGCUUCCUGAGGAUAUGCUCUGGACCUUCCCGCCAGCUCCUCUGGGCUUGUCAAAAUAUUUCUGUGUAGAGCCAUCCCUGUUUUUCCAUUAAUAAAAGUAUUUUUGGGCUCCCGGCAACAAUGAGUGAGUGUUACAAAAGAGGCCGGGCCUUCCAAGGUAAACACAGCUUGCCCCGGCCUGGGCUGGUGGCUCUGGGCUGCCGAGCAGGGGAGCGCCUGUUCUCAUUCAGGGGCUGCCUGCAUGAUCUCGUGGGCUCUCAGCCACGGUCUGGGCCAGGGAGAGCUGGCUCUGCAGCUUUGCACCUCUCUGGGGAAAAGAGAGUCUCACAGUAGAGCAGAGGAAUGGUGCCACUGCUGUUCAGGAUCCCUUGGGCUUUUCUGGUGCCAGUCAUGCUGCAUCCAUCCAUCCUUCCCUCCAGUUGGUCAGUCAGUCAGUCAACACACAUUUAUUGAGGUCCUGCUCUGGGCCCAGCACUUGUCUCUGGCCUAGAAGAGUGAGGCUCUGUGGGUCAACAGAUGUGGAAGCAGGUGGAUCCACAGGGGCUGUGGCAGGUAUCUCCCCAGGGAGGUCAUGGUAGAUAUCUGUCCCCAGGAGGGGACAGAUGGGAGAGGGUGAAGACUGUCGGCUCUGGGUUCUAAUUCUGCUCCACCACUUUCUGACCAUGGACCUUGGGCAAGUGACUCAACCUUCCAGGGAGUCAGUUUUCUCAUCUGCAAAGUGGAGACAGUAGGAAGUCAAUACAAGGAAUAUGAUUAGAAGAGAACAGUGCACAUUGCGCAAGUGUUUGCUAUAAAAUAAUUGUGAAAGCAGUCAAUAUUUGUGAAAUGAAAAAAUAAAUGGAUGGAGGGAGUCACUGUGUCAGGGACUGUAUUAGCAACCUAUUGCUCAGUCACCCCAGAACUUAGUGUCUUAAGACAACAAUACACAUUUAUAAUCUCACACAGCUUCAGUGAGUGAGAAACCGAAAAGUAGCUUGGCGGCGGGUGGGGGGGAGGGGCGUCAGGGUCUUUAACUGCACUGAAGUCGGCUUGCUGGGCAGGGCUGCACCAUCUGAAGGCUUGACUGGGGCUGGGGGCGUCCACUCCAAGGUGGCAUCCUCCCAUGGCUGGCAUGUGGGUGCUGCGUGGCAGGGGGAGGUCUCGGUUCCUUCCCGUGGGCCUCUCCUCAAGGCUGCUUGAGCGUCCUCACGACAUGGUAGCUGGCUUCCAUCAGUGAAUGAAUGAAGAGAAAGAGAACCAGGCAGAACCACAGGCCAUGACCAGUCACAAAAGCCACAUCUGGUACUUCCCACCACAUCCUGUUCCUUGAUGUGACUUGCUCAGUCUAGCCCACAUUCACAUGGAAUUAGGCCCAGCCUGGCUUUCUGAAGGGCAGCGUGUCAGAGAGCUCACAGAUAACGGUUAAAGUCAUGACAGUGACCAAAUAGAUUCUUUAAAGAGACCAGAAGGCCCCCAAAUACUACCUCCCCCAGACCAAAAGAGACCAUUGCAGGAGUCCAUUUAUUUGAAUGCUGGAACAUUCCAAACUAAUCUCAUCCAAGCAAUGAGACCAACAGGUGGCUGGGUAGCAGAGGAGGGGUCAACUGCAAAACGCAGUGGAGAUGUUCUAUAUUGACUGGGGUGAUGGUCAAAAUCAAGUGAAUUAUAUACUUAAAAUGUGCAUUUCAUAAAGUGUAAAUUUAAUUUAGCAAAGUUGACUUUAAAAAAUACCAGCUUCCUGAUUCAGGAUACUAACCGUUCCUACAAUUUCUUUGGUCCAGGUCCAGUGGUGGACACACUAGCACCAUAUUGGCCCAAUGUCUGUUUUUAUAAAUAAAGUUUUAUUGGAACACAGCCAUGAA